rnacentral:rRNA from 1 species
AUAGCGUAUAUUAAAGUUGUUGCAGUUAAAAAGCUCGUAGUUGAACUUCAGACCUGGCUGGAUGGUCUGCCUAACGGUAUGUACUGUCCGGCUGGGCCUUACCUCUUGGUGAGCCAGCGUGCCCUUCACUGUGGUGCGUUGGGGAACCAGGACUUUUACCUUGAGAAAAUUAGAGUGUUCAAAGCAGGCCUAUGCCCGAAUACAUUAGCAUGGAAUAAUAAAAUAGGACGUGCGGUUCUAUUUUGUUGGUUUCUAGAGUCGCCGUAAUGAUUAAUAGGGAUAGUUGGGGGCAUUGGUAUUGAGUCGCUAGAGGUGAAAUUCUUGGAUUGACUCAAGACCAACUAUUG